CCUCCUCCUGCUCCCCAGAGAGACUCGUGGCAGUGACAGGACCCUGCUCCUCCCUCUCCUCAGAAACACCUUGCCCCCACGCAACUUCCGAAACAGCGUUUCCUUCCUCUGCAUCCAGGCGACUCCUGGAAAUGGGAGCGAAGUCGUCCAGCUUGAGUUGGACGAGAUGCCACUUGAAGCGCUUCAGCUCCGCCUCGGUACAUUCUUCCAAGCAGUGAAGCAGGAGCUGGGGGAGGGAGCACUGGGGGAAGAAAGACAGGUGAGCAGGUACUGGAAUGUGUGCAUGAAGGCACGCGGGAGCAAGUAUGCUCAUGUGCACAUGCACCCAUGAGGGAGGUCUCACUCGCAUGCACCCGUGAGGGAGGUCUCACUCGCAUGCACCCGUGAGGGAGGUCUCACUCAUAUGCACUCCUCUAAGGACUAGUUAGUAAGAAGAGGAUACACUGCUAUUACGAUAAGGAGGUGGCACAGAUGAUAGCGUCUGUUUUAAAUAGAUACAUUUAUGUCUGUGAGGCAACAAAAUAAGACAGUUCUGGAUUUGUAUUCUAAAGAAAUCCAUGCCAUGAUUACAAAGCAUUAGCAAGACCUCACUUAUAAAACAGCACAGCUUAACUCAUCCAAAUUCUAAGGAAACAGACUAAUAAGCAGUCAAGGGGUAAUAUUAUUACAAUGUAAGAAAAAUGCUUCUUUAAAUACCUUUUCA